rnacentral:rRNA from 1 species
GACGAACGCUGGCGGCGUGCCUAAUACAUGCAAGUAGAACGCUGAAGGAGGAGCUUGCUCUUCUGGAUGAGUUGCGAACGGGUGAGUAACGCGUAGGUAACCUGCCUGGUAGCGGGGGAUAACUAUUGGAAACGAUAGCUAAUACCGCAUAAGAGUAGAUGUUGCAUGACAUUUACUUAAAAGGUGCAAUUGCAUCACUACCAGAUGGACCUGCGUUGUAUUAGCUAGUUGGUGGGGUAACGGCUUACCAAGGCGACGAUAGAUAGCCGACCUGAGAGGGUGAUCGGCCACACUGGGACUGAGACACGGCCCAGACUCCUACGGGAGGCAGCAGUAGGGAAUCUUCGGCAAUGGACGGAAGUCUGACCGAGCAACGCCGCGUGAGUGAAGAAGGGUUUCGGAUCGUAAAGCUCUGUUGUAAGAGAAGAACGAGUGUGAGAGUGGAAAGUUCACACUGUGACGGUAUCUUACCAGAAAGGGACGGCUAACUACGUG